rnacentral:rRNA from 1 species
GACGAACGCUGGCGGCGUGCCUAACACAUGCAAGUCGAACGAAGCUUGAUUUCUGAUUUUUUCGGAAUGACGAAUGAUAUGACUGAGUGGCGGACGGGUGAGUAACGCGUGAGCAACCUGCCCUUCGGAACGGGAUAGUGUCUGGAAACGGACAGUAAUACCGUAUAACAUAUAUUGAUCGCAUGGUCGAUAUAUCAAAACUGAGGUGCCGAAGGAUGGGCUCGCGUCUGAUUAGAUAGUUGGUGGGGUAACGGCCUACCAAGUCGACGAUCAGUAGCCGGACUGAGAGGUUGAACGGCCACAUUGGGACUGAGACACGGCCCAGACUCCUACGGGAGGCAGCAGUGGGGAAUAUUGCACAAUGGGGGAAACCCUGAUGCAGCAACGCCGCGUGAAGGAAGACGGUUUUCGGAUUGUAAACUUCUGUUCUUAGUGAAGAAUAAUGACGGUAGCUAAGGAGCAAGCCACGGCUAACUACGUGCCAGCAGCCGCGGUAAUACGUAGGUGGCAAGCGUUGUCCGGAAUUACUGGGUGUAAAGGGAGCGUAGGCGGGAUGCCAAGUCAGCUGUGAAAACUAUGGGCUUAACUUGUAGACUGCAGUUGAAACUGGUAUUCUUGAGUGAAGUAGAGGUUGGCGGAAUUCCGAGUGUAGCGGUGAAAUGCGUAGAUAUUCGGAGGAACACCGGUGGCGAAGGCGGCCAACUGGGCUUUAACUGACGCUGAGGCUCGAAAGUGUGGGGAGCAAACAAGAUUAGAUACCCUGGUAGUCCACACUGUAAACG